UGUUUACAAUUCUAUCUGAUAUGACAUUUGAAACAGGGACUGAGUGUCUCUUCAGCAUCACUUGAUGGUGAGAAUUUCUUGGUUGCUUUUGGUGGAUACAACGGGAAGUACAAUAAUGAGGUAUAUGUUAUGAGGCCUAAACCAAGGGAUGUAUUACAUCCCAAGAUACUUCAGUCACCAGCAGCCGAAGCAGCAGCAGCUUCUGUUAGAGCUGCAUAUGCCUUAACUAAACCAGAAAAGUUAGACUUAUCCGUAGAGAGAAGAUACCAGUUUUAAGGAAGUUCACGUUGAUAGCACCCAGCAAAAUCUUUUGGCCGAAAUUAGUGCUCUGGGAGUACAGAAAAAGCUCUGACACUUUUUUUGAGCUUAAGUUCUAAUUCCCCCAUCCUAUCCUAUAUUUAUAGCAAUCAAUAAAUUAUGUCGCGAUUCAAAACCAGUUGGGGGUCAACUCACCUAUGUAAGUUUCGUAUAGCUGGUCUCAAGAAUAAAGGAUGAGGGUCGUGGUAAGUUGAUAGCCAGCGAAACAUAAUCAUAACGUUAUAGUUUCACCAAGCACAUUCUAUAUAAGAGCAAUAUGAUCAAUUUAUGGUUUAGUUGUUCCUCUCAUUUCAAUCCGACCAAUAUUAAAAGGCGUUCGUGGUUUUGUUUGUGACUUUUUCAUGGUAUCUUCAGGCACAAAUAGCAGAGCUAAAAAAGAUGCUAGAGUCUAUGCAGUCCAUAGAGGAGGAAGUUCAAGCUCUACGAAAGGAGAAGUCUGAAUUGGAACGCGACAUGGAGCGUGUUUCAUCUGUCCAGAAACAGGGCUCGGGCGGGGCUUGGAAGUGGAUUACUGGAUAAUUAUUUGAACCAAGUUACAUAUUUGGAACCUCAGUUCUUUCCCCCAUUGCUGUAAUACUUGCAAAAGAAGAAGUUUUCCAGUAUUUUGGUGCACUUGUAAUGCUAUUUUGUAAGAGGAUGUGCAACUUUUGAUUUUUUGUUGAAAAAACAUAUCAUUCUUUUUUACUUGCUUUCUUUUAUUAUAUUAUGUUUAUGACACUUGCAUUUUGUAAUUGCAAUAUUUCAUUGUAGCAAAUUGAUUGUUUUUGAA